GCCCAGGUGGCGGAACUGGUAGACGCGCAGCGUUGAGGGCGCUGUGCCACAAGUGGCGUGCCGGUUCGAUUCCGGCCCUGGGCACCA
rnacentral:tRNA from 1 species